rnacentral:lncRNA from 1 species
UUUUUUUUUUUUUUGUUUUUUUUUUUAGGGCCACACUAGUGGCAUAUGGGGAUUCCCAGGUUAGGGGUCCAAUCGGAACUGUUGCUGCUGGCCUACACCAACGCUAAAUUCUUAACCCACUGAACCAGGCCAGGGAUCAAACCUGCGUCCUCAUGGAUGUUAGUCAGAUUCAUUAACCACUGAGCCACGAUGGAAACUCCCGUAAGUGACAUUUUUUAUGGAUAUUAAAUAAGUAUAAGCCAUUAUUAUAGGUUUUAAAAUUUGUCCUUUAACCCCAAGAUCUUAGAAGAAAGAGCACUUUCUGCGCAAGAGCUGUUUUCAUGAGAAAGCACGUUGGUUUCUCAAAUGUCAAUGGCCACACUUAAUGUGCUAAUUAGAUAGGUACUUAGAAAAAUCUCAAAAAAAUGUAACAUCUUAACAGGAAGAUCCCAGAAUCACAUAGAGAGUGUUUCUUGUAUAACACAUAAGUGUUCAUUUCCCUUAGAAAACCUCCUUGGAUGUAAUCUGGUUUAUCAGUAUCAUUCAAGUCAUAUAGCUGGUUAAGACAUUCCAAACAAAAUGGCAUUUAUAUUUUUUUCCCCAUGGAAGGGGCUGAGGAGGCAAGAAAGGAAUUAAGCAUCUGUAACUUUUUAAUAUACCCAAUAUACAUAUAAAGGGAUUAUAGUUGAGUUCCUACAUUUUAAAUAUUUUAAUAUGUCAUUCCUACUCUGAUAGGGUCUAUAGCCAGCAUUGUUCUGACAUCACCAGCCAGGCAACUUUCCAGCACCUCAUGCCUCUUUUGCAGUAUCCAUUUUUCCCCAAACCCAUACCAACAACUGCUGAGAGCCCAGCCAUCACCUUGGGAAACACUUUGAAAUAAUAUAAAACUCCAGGGGCAUUCACGAAGCAUUUUAAAAUAUGCCCAUUCCUGAUUCUACAGGUAUACUCAACCACAAAUGUGGGCAUAUAUACUGCAAUAUUUGUGAGGAAAAAUACCGGAAAAAAUCUAAAUGUCCAUCGCCAGGGAUUGUUUAAAUAAACCACAGUAUAUCCACUCUAAGACAUAUUAUGCAGCCUGUAAAAGACUUCAAGAUGGCAAAAUGGUUACAUGAAAAAAGCAACCUGUUGGGAGUUCCUGGUGGCCUAACAGUUAAGGAUUUGGCACUGUCACUUGUGUGGCUCAGGUUCCAGUCCUGGCCUGGGGGAACAUCUGCAUGCCAACGGAUGCAAACAAAAAAACAAACAAACAAAAAAAAAAAAAACAAACAAACAAAAAAGCAAAAUGUACAAAUAGAUAGUACGGUUCUAUUUGUGUUUAAAAAAAUAAGGGGGAGGAGAGUUCCCGUCGUGGCUCAGUGGAUAAUGAACCUGACUAGGAACCCUGAGGUUGCAGUCGGAUUCGUUAACCACUGUGCCUCAACGGGAACUCCUGUCAAAUGAUUUUCAACCAAGAUGCCAAGUCAAUCUAAUGGGAGAAGGAAAAAAAUUUUUUUGUCUUUUUAGGGCUGCACCCACAGCAUAUGGAGGUUCCCAGGUUAGGGGUUCCCACAGCUCACAGCAACACUGAAUCCUUAACCUACUGAGAAAGGCUAGGGAUCGAACCUGCGUCCUCAUGGAUGCUAGUCAGAUUCUUUUCCACUGAGCCAUGACAGGAACUCCAAAAAAAUCAUGUUUUUAAAUGACUGUACCCACAGCAUAUGGAAGUUCCCGGGCCAGGGAUCGACUGCCAUAGCUGUGGCAACACUGGAUUCCAUAGCUCACUGUGCUAAGGAUUGAACCUGCACCUCUAUAGCCACCCGGGCCACUCCAGUAAGAUUCUGAACCCAGUGAGCCACAGGGGGAUAUCCAGGAGAUUAUUUUUAAACAAAUGUUGCUGCAACAACUGAAUAUCCAUGUUGAAAUAAAACUCGUUCUAUGCAAAUAAUUAAUUUGAGGUGCAUCAUAUACCUAGAUAUAAAACUCCAAAAACUCCAAACCAUAGAUGAAAAACCUAAAACCAGUGAGAUGGAUCAAGACUAUUUAUGAUCAAUCAUAAACAUAAAACCCCAAACCAUAAAACUUCUAGAAGAAAAUGUGUUUUUUGUGAGCUUGGGGUCUAAAAUCAUAAACAAAAAACUUGAUAAAGUGGUCUUUAUCAAAACAAAAAUUUCUGCUCAUCAAAAUAUCCCAGUAAGAAAGUGAACAGACAAAUCAGAGCCUAUAAAAAAAAAUCACAGCAUAUAUACCCACCAAAGGACUUGUAUCCAGAAUACACACAAUAACCAUAAUAAAAAGAUAAUUCAAUUUUAAAAUUGGAAAAGACACAAAAGAUAUUUCAUAAAAGAUUAAAAUAAGCAUAUGAAAAGUGCACAACACCAUUAAUCAUCAGGGAAACGUAAAUUAAAAUUAUAGUUAUUUCAUACCCAAUAAAAUGGCCAAUAUAAAAAACACUGACUACAGUAAAUGUUGACAAAGAUAUGAAGCAACUGGAACUCUCAUACACCACUGAUGAGAGUACAAAAUGGUAAACAACUUUAGAAAACAUGAAGCCAGUUUCUUAAAAAGUUAUCACAUAACUCAGCAAUUUUCUAUUCUUAGGUAUUUAUCCAAAAAAAAUGAAAACACAUAUCCACAAAACAAAGACUUAAGAAUAUACAUAGCAGCCUUAUUCAUAAUUGCCCCAAUUAAAACCUUGAAGUCUAAUCAGUAGGAGAAUGGAUUAAAAAAACCUGUGGUAUAUGUAUAUAUUUAUGUAUAUAUAUACAUCAAAUACUACUCAGAAAUAAAGAAUAAUUUACUGAUACAUACAAUAUGGAUGAGUCGUUAAAGUAUUGUAAGUGAAAGAAGCCAGAUGCAAGAGUUCAUGUUAUAUAAUUCUAAUUAUAUAAGUCCAAAGGUAGGCAAGAUAAAUCUUUAGGGAGAUCACAAAUGAUCUUUGGAGUAGGGAAGGGAGCAGGGAUAAUUUGAAAGAUGCACAAGAGAACUUUCUGGAUUAAUAGUAAUGUUCUAUAGCUUCUUUUGCAUUAUCUCACAACAUGUACAAUUGUUGAAACAUCAAUCUGAACACUUAAGAUGGGUGCAAUUUUUGAUUUCUAUCAACUUAAAGGUGAGUAGAGGAUACCUAUUCUAGUAGAAGCAUCUGUCCCCAACCCUUUACUGACCUAUUCUGUUCUCCUAAGUGUCAUCUUUGGGCUUUAAUCUGAUUAGGGCUAGGCUCUUGACUAUAGGAUUUAUCUUAAAGGGCACACAAUCUGGUAUCCCUAAAAAGUAGCAUUUGGAACCUGUGAAGCAAUUCUGUGGAACCAAUAGUUUAUUUCCAUUGAUUAGAGGGCAACCACUGACCACUGUAAAGCACUGACUUGCACUAAUGUGCUUUUUGUUUUGUUUUCUGGCUGCGCCUAGAGCAUGCAGUAGUUCCCAGGCCAGGGAUCAAAUCUGUGCCACAGCAAUGACCCAGGCUGCUGCAAUGACAAUGCUAGAUCCUUAACUCGCUGCACCAAGGGAACUCCUGUACUAAUGUGAUUUUAACAUGAAUAGUUUGUAAAAGACUUAAUUUACUCUAUUGAAAGAUAGUCAAGAAUUAAUGGAGUAAAAUUUAAUUCUUCAAAAGCAAGUACAACAACACUAUUACUCUUCAUUAAACUCAUUCUCUGGUAUUUGUUGCUGUGACGUGUAAGCUAGUCACAGGAUUUUUGGAUACAUACUAUUUCCUAUCCAAAUCAAGUAGACACUGCUCAUGCUUUCUCCUUUGUCAGAAAACUCUUCAGUAUUUGCCCUAGUUAUAUAGAAAUGAACCACAAGUCAGGGUCAUAUGGUAGGAAUUUAUUAACAAGCAACAAUUUUGUUCAUACCAGGAAGACCAGCAAUUAGGUUAUAAAUGACUUGAGAGUAGGUGCAAGAACUUACAAUUUUAGAGCAUUCCAUUAAGAAUGUCUACUGCCCACACAGGCCCACAUGAAGUGCUCCAUAAAAUCUGGUUAUCAUUUUAUGCUGCACUUACUAUGAAAAAAGGAUGUGACCUACAGAGGUCAGAGUACACACAGGGAGUCUCCCUGCAAGAGGAAGUUGGACAAUUUAGUAAGUAGUGAUGUUUUUGGAUAGGGUCCCUUAGAAAACUUAGGACUGUGUGUGUUUGCUCACUCCUUAGGAAUCCCAGCUUUGCCGGUUGAUUCCAGAGAACCAGAUCCUGACUGCCCUGAUUCACGAUUCUAAGAAAUUGCCAUUUAACAUGCACUGAAGUGGUUUCUAGGGCACGACUUUGUCGUUUUGCACAUAGAAACCAAUUUUAACCAUCAGAAGAAAAUCUAAAAUCUUUAGAAGCGGAGUUCCUGUCAUGGCUCAAUGGUUAAUGAACCCAACUGGUAUUCAUGAGGAUGCAGGUUCGAUUCCUGGCCUCGCUCAGUAGGUUAAGGUUCUGGCGUUGCCACGAGCUGUCAUGUAGGUCACAGACACAGCUCAGGUCCCUUGUUGCUGUGGCUGUGGUGUAGGCCCGCAGCUGUAGCCGCGAUUUGACCCCUAGCCUCGGAACCUCCACAUGCCGCAGGUAUGGCCCUAAAAAAGCAAAAAUAAAAUUUACAGAAGCAAGUUUUCAUUCUAAAGAGCCUUCUGGAGAAUUAGCUAUCUACUAUAGUUACUCAUACCUUCCAAAUUCCCACCCUGAAAGGAACUUGAAUACUCCAUGACAGAAAGCACGCAGAUUGAGGAGUUCCCUGGUGGCUCAGUGGGUUAAGAAUCCAGCAUUUUCACUGCAGCGGCUCAGGUCACUGAUGUGGUGGUCAGUCAGAUGGCAAAAAAAAAAAAAAAAAAAAAAAAGCGUGCAACUUGAAAAGCAAAUAUCCAAAUUUUAUAUAGAUGGAGUCAGUGAGGAGGGUUAUACAGAUGCUAAAU